rnacentral:rRNA from 1 species
AGCGAACGCUGGCGGCAGGCUUAACACAUGCAAGUCGAGCGGGCACUUUCGGGUGUCAGCGGCGGACGGGUGAGUAACGCGUGGGAACGUGCCCUCUGGUUCGGAAUAACUCAGGGAAACUUGAGCUAAUACCGGAUACGCCCUUUUGGGGAAAGGCUUGCUGCCGGAGGAUCGGCCCGCGUCUGAUUAGCUAGUUGGUGAGGUAACGGCUCACCAAGGCGACGAUCAGUAGCUGGGCUGCGCGGAGGGUCAGCCACACUGGGACUGAGACACGGCCCAGACUCCUACGGGAGGCAGCAGUGGGGAAUAUUGGACAAUGGGCGCAAGCCUGAUCCAGCCAUGCCGCGUGAGUGAUGAAGGCCUUAGGGUUGUAAAGCUCUUUUAUCCGGGACGAUAAUGACGGUACCGGAGGAAUAAGCCCCGGCUAACUUCGUG